rnacentral:rRNA from 1 species
CUUGCUUUCUUUGCUGGCGACCGGCGCACGGGUGAGUAACACGUAUCCAACCUGCCCUUUACUCGGGGAUAACCUUUCGAAAGAAAGAUUAAUACCCGAUAGUAUAAUGAUUCCGCAUGGUUUCAUUAUUAAAGGAUUCCGGUAAAGGAUGGGGAUGCGUUCCAUUAGGUUGUUGGUGAGGUAACGGCUCACCAAGCCUUCGAUGGAUAGGGGUUCUGAGAGGAAGGUCCCCCACAUUGGAACUGAGACACGGUCCAA